rnacentral:lncRNA from 1 species
AUAUAUCAAGUUUUUCCUUUUGUGUUUUUUUGUGAAUUUGUCAUCUGAGUGCGGCGUUGUGUUGUUUGUCGUCUUGUGUGGCGUUUGAAUUCGCGUCUUGAUGCAGUGUUCGUUAGUUUUCUAUUGAAAGAUCCACUUCAGUCAAUUAUAAAUUCCAUCAAUUAUUUGGGUGUCGACGUUGCAUAUCCGGAAGCAUGGUAAUGUAGUGAGUUAUAAUUUAUCAUAUUAUUUGUA